CAAACUACACAUAUACAGGCAUCAAGGUCGGGUUCGAACCCACGACCUCCUGGAUUCCACUUGGGGCAGAUUAUUUGGCAGCUAUGAAUGUCCACAUGGUCGCAUCAUAAAAAGAGCUAUUUACCUAGGUGAGCAUUACCUGGUAAAAAAAUAAUAUGAAGUUUAUUUUUAGUUUAUUUCAAACAUGCCAAGUGAAAUUGAAUAUCUCAAGAAUAUUACCGUCGGGACAUUUACGAAUAGGUUAUUGAAUAAAAUAAAUAAAUCAGAUUCAAAUCUACAUUUUAAGAUAAAGUUUAUUGUGUUUAACGAGGUGGAUAUUCAGGACACCGGAAAGUCAUCUCACGCGCAAGAGCUUGGCCUAGAGUCUGCCAGGAGGGGGCGAUGGCUGCUGAUACGGGCAGUCCACGACUCACGAACGGGGUUACGUUAGGAAGUCGGCAGGUUCGUAAGUUGCAACACAAUAAUGUAACGGAUUUAAAUGUCCAUGCGGUCAGUGGUAAGAAAUGCGUUUUGGUUAAACACAAAGGGAAGCAUUGUUAAACUCAUAAAUAAGAAAUGUAGUACAUCUGCAUGUAACACUGUGAUAAACUCAUAAUUAAUAAAUGUAGUACAUUUGCAUGUAACACUGUGAUAAAAUACUGUCGAUGUAUAAUUAAAGACCUUCAGGAAAAAACCUUAAAAUCCGUAAUUUUUCCAUUUUAAGGUCCCCAAAUCUCGAUUUGCGACGAUCUGUGGUCCCAUCGACGUGAUAAUGAGCGCUUUAUUUUCUGGCAGCGCAAGCGCACAGCACCUCGCGGUCGUAGGCGUCAGGUUCAGACCACACGUGGAAAACACGUCGAAGAGGGAACCGCAAAAGACGAACACCCAAGCGAAAAACUUUCCGCUCAACGCCAAGAUGGGGAAGUUGGAAGGCCGAAUUUUGGCAUAAAACGGCACACGAGGAAGUGAGGGUUGAGCAGUUGGAGAAGAGGCUGUCGAGAGCGGUCUCCCUGGGCAUGGCCGGGUCGUGCUGUUGGUCACGUGCCGCCUGUCUCGUCGCUCUGUGGGCUGCUGUCGUGAGCAAUGCCGACCCAAAAUACGUAGAUGAUGCCAAAGCGAAGUAUCAUCAAACUAUCCUGCUGCCCUGUCGGACAGAAUGCCAUGGACCUGUUAUCGUUGAUCGAUGGAAUAUAGACAUUAAUGGUGUAUUUCAAGACUUUGAACAUUUGCAUGACAAAAACAUUGGCAAAACCAAAUACAUUGACAACAAAAACGCUUCCCUGACCAUUCAAAAUCCUGAGUGGGAAGGAAUGAGAUGGUACAGAUGUUACUGGUCAUGUCAAAAUCAAGACUCUCUUAACAUGUAUUCUGAUAUAUCUAUUUUUCUAAUCAAAGAUGUUAAGACGAACAACAUUAUCGGUGCUAAAGUUGGUGAAAAGAUCUCGAUUCCCUGCCGAGGCAAUUCUGAAAGCAGAAUCACUGAAAGCGUUGAAUGGCACUUUGCUCUACCAGGACAACCAUACUACCCCGUCAACAUGGUCAGUGGAAGAAAACACUCCAUCGAUAAUAACAAAUCACUGCUCAUUCACAAUCUCCAGAAGAAAGAUGCAGGAUUUUACCUGUGUGAGCUGAAGAAUGUCAAGGAUUUCUACGAAACGAAAGUCAACAUAAUCCGAGGUAAUGCAUGAAAAUGAAGCUACAUUACGACACGUGGACACAGCUUUAGGUUACGAAUGAUUUUGUAAAAAACAAACCUGCUAGCGAGUCGCCUUUAGUGGAACCAAGACUCAAAAAUGCCAAACGUCAAGCAAAUGCCCCAAUUGACACAAUUGUGAGUGCAUGCUUACGGUCAUGGUAUCCACCAUAUGGAUAUACUACGAUACAUCAUGAAGUAAAAUAAAUAAUGUAUAGUGUUCGGAAUAAAUCUAAUUAAUUUUUCGCGGAAUAGAAAGUACGUGGGUCGUAAAGAUUAUAGAUUGUCAAGUGAGCAUGAUGAGACUCGUGGCCGGCUAGUGUUAGUGAACUGCAGUUGGGGAGCGUUCACGCCACAAAGUAAAUCUUCAUCCGUGCCGGAAGUACAGAAAUGCAUGAAAAAUGCAAUGAAAUGUUAAAUAUAUUGACAAAGUUACAAGAAACUAUAGCGUGAUAAUCGUAAUAUCGUGAACUUUGUUGAAACUGGAAACCUAGUAUGAACCAAUUGUCUGAGAGGAGGCGCUUACCUCCAAUAGGCAAUGAAAUCCAGCCUCACCCACUUCAACACCCAAGGCCAUUUAAACUCGUAUCUAUGAACAAAAAGUAAUAAUACACAAAUAAUGUAGCAAAUACCUUCGUCCAUCACCAACUCCUCAACGUACCACGCGGCACGCUCCACUCACCUGACACUCACCUGACACUCACCUGCACCGUUAAACUUAUCGAUGCAACCUGUGUGGAAAUUGUUUGAACAAUAGCGCUCCAAGAGAUUUAUGUGAAGCACAAUUACUACAACAUGAACAACAAAACAAUUCAGACCUUUGCCAAUCUGCUGCUGGAUGAAGGCCACCGCGCACCGUGUGAUCGUGGGUAAAGUUUGACCAUACUUCACCACGCUGGUUAGUGUGAGUCUUGAAGCAGAGGGGCCCACGGCUGACUGAGAAAUUGCUUAUCCCUGAUCUUACGUAUGGCUGGCAAAGGAACUUGGGCUACGCGGUUCAUUGCCCAGUGUUCUAUCCAUCGUGCCGCCAUUGUCACACCGCCUUUUAAAUCGUUCCGGUUUUCAAGAAGUGUUCAGAUCGUUGCUAAGCCGUAGCGCUUCCACCAAAGUAGAAGACAUGCACUGCACACUGCACAUACCAAGGCGAGUGCGACAACUGGAUUAACACCUUGGCAUGUUUUAAUUUGACAUUUUUCAUUAUUAUUACUCAACAGAUCGUCCACCUGCCACCACUCUUGCUUCUUCCACUACAGCAAAUGCAGGUGAUUAUAUGUCUUUAAUGAGUAAACUUUACACAUUUUAGCAUUCAUAAUAGUAUUCGCCAUGGUGUUUGAAUAGAAAUACCCACAGGAAUAUCAUCAUCAACCGUUCUUUAUCCAUUGCAGGAUGAAUGUGUUCCCAAAUUGUCGGUACUUUCCCAACAAUAAUAAUUCAAAUGUAUAAUGCGCA